rnacentral:rRNA from 1 species
AGUGAACGCUGGCGGUAGGCCUAACACAUGCAAGUCGAACGGCAGCACAGUAAGAGCUUGCUCUUACGGGUGGCGAGUGGCGGACGGGUGAGGAAUACAUCGGAAUCUACUUUUUCGUGGGGGAUAACGUAGGGAAACUUACGCUAAUACCGCAUACGACCUACGGGUGAAAGCAGGGGAUCUUCGGACCUUGCGCGAUUGAAUGAGCCGAUGUCGGAUUAGCUAGUUGGCGGGGUAAAGGCCCACCAAGGCGACGAUCCGUAGCUGGUCUGAGAGGAUGAUCAGCCACAAUGGAACUGAGUCACGGUCCAGCCUCCUACGGGAGGCAGCAGUGGGGCAUAUUGGACAAUGGGCGCACGCCUGAUCCAGCCUUUCCGCGUGAGUGAAGAACGCCUUCUUGUUGUACAGCCCUUUUGUUGGGAAAGAAAAGCAGCAGGUUAAUACCCCGCUGUUCUGCCGGUACCCAAAGAAUAAGCACCGGCUAACUUCGU